CCAAUAGCGUAUAUUAAAGUUGUUGCAGUUAAAAAGCUCGUAGUUGAACUUCGGGGUUUACUUAUUGGUCAGGCUUAAUUGUCUGUACUGGUGAGAUGAAUCUCUACCUUCUGAGGAACUUUCAUGCCAUUUAUUUGGUGUGAUGGGAAAUCAGGACUGUUACUUUGAAAAAAUUAGAGUGUUUAAAGCAGGCUAACGUCUGAAUACAUUAGCAUGGAAUAAUGAAAUAGGACGGACUGAUUCUAUUUCGUUGGUUUCUAGGAUCACCGUAAUGAUUAAUAGGGAUAGUUGGGGGCAUUAGUAUUCAAUUGUCAGAGGUGAAAUUCUUGGAUUUAUUGAAGACUAACUACUGCGAAAGCAUUUGCCAAGGAUGUUUUCAUUAAUCAAGAACGAAAGUUAGGGGAUCGAAGACGAUCAGAUACCGUCGUAGUCUUAACCAUAAACUAUGCCGACUAGGGAUCGGACGAAGUUAAUUUUAUAAUGACGCGUUCGGCACCUUACG
rnacentral:rRNA from 1 species